rnacentral:rRNA from 1 species
AUGAACGCUAGCUACAGGCUUAACACAUGCAAGUCGAGGGGCAGCAUUUUAGUUUGCUUGCAAACUGAAGAUGGCGACCGGCGCACGGGUGAGUAACACGUAUCCAACCUGCCGAUAACUCCGGAAUAGCCUUUCGAAAGAAAGAUUAAUACCGGAUAGUAUACGAAUAUCGCAUGAUAUUUUUAUUAAAGAAUUUCGGUUAUCGAUGGGGAUGCGUUCCAUUAGUUUGUUGGCGGGGUAACGGCCCACCAAGACUACGAUGGAUAGGGGUUCUGAGAGGAAGGUCCCCCACAUUGGAACUGAGACACGGUCCAAACUCCUACGGGAGGCAGCAGUGAGGAAUAUUGGUCAAUGGGCGAGAGCCUGAACCAGCCAAGUAGCGUGAAGGAUGAAGGCUCUAUGGGUCGUAAACUUCUUUUAUAUGGGAAUAAAGUUUUCCACGUGUGGAAUUUUGUAUGUACCAUAUGAAUAAGGAUCGGCUAACUCCGUGCCAGCAGCCGCGGUAAUACGGAGGAUCCGAGCGUUAUCCGGAUUUAUUGGGUUUAAAGGGAGCGUAGGUGGAUUGUUAAGUCAGUUGUGAAAGUUUGCGGCUCAACCGUAAAAUUGCAGUUGAAACUGGCAGUCUUGAGUACAGUAGAGGUGGGCGGAAUUCGUGGUGUAGCGGUGAAAUGCUUAGAUAUCACGAAGAACUCCGAUUGCGAAGGCAGCUCACUAGACUGUCACUGACACUGAUGCUCGAAAGUGUGGGUAUCAAACAGGAUUAGAUACCCUGGUAGUCCACACAGUAAACGAUGAAUACUCGCUGUUUGCGAUAUACAGUAAGCGGCCAAGCGAAAGCAUUAAGUAUUCCACCUGGGGAGUACGCCGGCAACGGUGAAACUCAAAGGAAUUGACGGGGGCCCGCACAAGCAGUGGAGUAUGUGGUUUAAUUCGAAGCAACGCGAAGAACCUUACCAGGUCUUGACAUCCGAUGCAUAGCGCAGAGAUGCGUGAAGUCCUUCGGGACAUCGAGACAGGUGGUGCAUGGUUGUCGUCAGCUCGUGUCGUGAGAUGUUGGGUUAAGUCCCGCAACGAGCGCAACCCUUAUUGUUAGUUGCCAUCAUUUAGUUGGGCACUCUAGCAAGACUGCCGGUGACAAACCGGAGGAAGGUGGGGAUGACGUCAAAUCAGCACGGCCCUUACGUCCGGGGCUACACACGUGUUACAAUGGGGGGUACAGAAGGCGGCUACCUGGUGACAGGAUGCUAAUCCCAAAAACCUCUCUCAGUUCGGAUCGAAGUCUGCAACCCGACUUCGUGAAGCUGGAUUCGCUAGUAAUCGCGCAUCAGCCAUGGCGCGGUGAAUACGUUCCCGGGCCUUGUACACACCGCCCGUCAAGCCAUGAAAGCCGGGGGUACCUGAAGUACGUAACCGCAAGGAGCGUCCUAGGGUAAAACUGGUAAUUGGGGCU